GAUCAACGCUGGCGGCGUGCCUAAUGCAUGCAAGUCGGACGGGCUGGCUUUCGGGCCGGUCACGUGGCGGACGGGUGCGGAGCACGUGGGCAAGCUGCCCUGGGGCGGGGGAUAGCCGGCGGAAACGCCGGGCAAUUCCGCGUACGUUCAUUGGCCGGUGGGGCGGAUGAAGAAAGGCUUUUCGGAGUCACCCUGGGAGGCGCCUGCGGCCGAUUAGCUAGACGGUGGGGUAAUGGCUUACC
rnacentral:rRNA from 1 species